ACUUAAACCCAAUUAUAAAUGGCUUUGGCUAUAAAGUGUUCUUGAAUGAAAACGUUUAGGAAGUAGGCCUGGAUUCAGAUGCUUCGGAGGCUCAAAGGUUUUCUAAUUGUUUAUGAAGAAGAUUGAUCUUCACAAGCUAGUUUUUUCAUAGGCAAAAGCAAAAGUCUCUUCCUGUGUUAUUAAGUGAAAAUGGCUGAUUAUAAAAAGGGGCUUACAAACAAUAUUUAACAAAUCUUCAUCAAGUCCCUACUCUGUGGCAGGCCCUGGGUCAGGAGGUUGCCGAUUCCAGGAAGAAUCAGACCUUAUCCCUGCCCUUGAGUCUCAAGAAGAGAAAAGGAAAACAAAUAAGCAUAGUACAGUGUGAAAAGUGGGACUGUGGUCCAAUUUCAGUCUGCAAACUCAGAAUGGAUGAAAUAUGAAAGACUGACAACAUUAAGUGUAGGACAGGAUGUGGAGCCACUGGGACUCAUACGUGACUGAUGGGAAUGCAAAAUGAUACCGAUCCCUUGGAAAACUCCUUGGCAACUUUAAUAAACAUAAAUCUACCCUAUGAUCCAGAAAUUCCACUCUGAGUCACGUCUCCAAGAGCAAUGAAAAUAUAUACCCACAAAAGACUGUACAUAAAUCAGAACAGCAUUGUUGAUAAUAGCCCAAACUGGAAACAACCUAAAUAUUCACCAAUAGAAGCCUGAAUAAAUUCAUACUGUGGGAUACUCUACAGCAGUGAGGUAGAUGAACUAUUACUGCCUACAACAACAUGAAAGAAAGUAAAAAUCACUACUUUGAUAAUUAUAAACACAAAAAAGUAAACAUAUCAUUCUAUUCAUAUGAAGAGUUAUCUAAAUAAUUAGUAAAAUUGAUCUAUGAUUUUAGAAGUGGUUACCUCUGGAGGAGAAGGAGGGGUACUGUUACUGACUGAGAAGGGAGUUCUGGAAAAAUUCUAUACUUUGAUCUUUGGGAUGGUUACACAGAUGUAUAGACAGGCAAAAAUUCAUUGAACUUUACAUUUAAUAUUUGUACAUUUUACCAUAUGCAAAUUGUCCCUCAAUUUAAAAAAUCUCAUUUUCCUUAAAAAAACACAGAGGCAAACAUUUCAAAAACAAUAUCUCACCUUAGAUGAGAUAUAGAGGCAAGCAGGCAGCCCUACUAUGAGAGCCUGGAAAAGGCAUUAGACACACUGUGUGUGGGGUGCAGUAGGGACAGAGAGACACUCAAGGAGGGUUUCUUGUGGGAGGUGACAGCUAAACAUUGAAGGACCUGUACUGAAAGUCAAGCAAAGAGAAGGCUAAGGGCAUUCCAGGCUCAAGGAACAGCAUGCAAGGGCACUCAUAGCAUCCCAAGAGAAGUUGACUGAGAGAAGGAGGGUGUGGGGAAGGGACAAACGACGAAGCCACAGAUGUCAAUGGGAGUCAGAUCUGACAGCCUCACAAGCCAAAGGGAGGCCCAAGGGAGGCCCCACAGAGUUGUGAUUGGAGUUGGACUUUAAGGAGGCCACUCUGGAGGAAGGGAGGAAGGCAGUUUAGAGGUGGUUGCAGUAAUCCACAGAUGGGGCAUGUGGCCUGAACUAGCGCAGCGGCCAUGGGGAUUGGGGCUGGGAGAAGAGCUUCCAGAGAUACUUGGAGGAAGACUUUGGUAACCAGCAGUAUAGCGGGACAGGAGAGGAAAUCGUUAAGGAAACUCAUGGGUUCUUGCCUUUCAUGGCAAGGUGGAGCUAUUUACUGAGAAAAAGAUAGGAAGAGCUACAUUUAUUUAUUUAUUUAUUAUAUAUUUUUUGGGAUGGACUCUCACUCUGUCA